rnacentral:rRNA from 1 species
AGAGUUUGAUCAUGGCUCAGAACGAACGCUGGCGGCAGGCUUAACACAUGCAAGUCGAACGCCCCGCAAGGGGAGUGGCAGACGGGUGAGUAACGCGUGGGAAUCUACCGUACCCUACGGAAUAACGCAUGGAAACGUGUGCUAAUACCGUAUACGCCCUACGGAGGAAAGAUUUAUCGGGGUAUGAUGAGCCCGCGUUGGAUUAGCUAGUUGGUGGGGUAAAGGCCUACCAAGGCGACGAUCCAUAGCUGGUCUGAGAGGAUGAUCAGCCACAUUGGGACUGAGACACGGCCCAAACUCCUACGGAAGGCAGCAGUGGGGAAUAUUGGACAAUGGGCGCAAGCCUGAUCCAGCCAUGCCGCGUGAGUGAUGAAGGUCUUAGGAUUGUAAAGCUCUUUCACCGAUGAAGAUAAUGACGGUAGUCGGAGAAGAAGCCCCGGCUAACUUCGUGCCAGCAGCCGCGGUAAUACGAAGGGGGGCUAGCGUUGUUCGGAAUUACUGGCCGUAAAGCGCACGUAGGCCGGAUAUUUUAAAGUUCAAGGGGUGAAAAAUCUCCGCCAAGCCUC